AUCCAGCUGACGAGUCCCAAAUAGAACGAAGCGCGCGUCCUGGAU
rfam:Schistosoma mansoni strain Puerto Rico chromosome 4, complete genome